rnacentral:rRNA from 1 species
UACGAAGGAUGCAAGCGUUAUCCGGAUUUAUUGGGUUUAAAGGGAGCGUAGGCGGUCUUAUAAGUCAGUGGUGAAAUCUCGCAGCUUAACUGCGAAACUGCCAUUGAUACUGUAGGACUUGAGUAUAGUUGCUGUGGGCGGAAUAUGACAUGUAGUGGUGAAAUACUUAGAGAUGUCAUAGAACACCGAUUGCGAAGGCAGCUCACAAAACUAUAACUGACACUGAGGCUCGAAAGUGCGGGGAUCAAACAGG